GACGAACGCUGGCGGCGUGCUUAACACAUGCAAGUCGAACGAUGAAGAAGAGCUUGCUCUUCGGAUUAGUGGCGAACGGGUGAGUAACACGUGACUAACCUGCCCCUUUCUCUGGGAUAACGCUCCGAAAGGAGUGCUAAUACCGGAUACUCACACCGAGGCACAUGCCUCGAUGUGGAACGUUUUUCGGAAAGGGAUGGGGUCCCGGCCUAUCAGCUUGUUGGUGAGGGACCGGCUCAACAAGGCGACGACGGGUAGCUGGCCUGAGAGGGCGACCGGCCACACUGGGACUGAGACACGGCCCAGACUCCUACGGGAGGCAGCAGUGGGGAAUAUUGCACAAUGGGCGAAAGCCUGAUGCAGCGACGCCGCGUGAGGGAUGAAGGUCUUCGGAUUGUAAACCUCUUUCAGUAGGGACGAAGCGAAAGUGACGGUACCUAAAGAAGAAGCACCGGCUAACUACGUGCCAGCCGCCGCCGUAA
rnacentral:rRNA from 1 species